rnacentral:tRNA from 1 species
CAAGGUAGAGCUUGGUUUAGUUAAGCAUCUCACUUACGUUGAGAAGAUGUCGUGCAAAUCGAUUUACUUUGA